rnacentral:rRNA from 1 species
GACGGACGCUGGCGGCGUGCUUAACACAUGCAAGUCGAGCGGUAAGGGCCCUUUCGGGGGUACGACGAGCGGCGAACGGGUGAGUAACACGUGGGUGACCUGCCCUCAGCUCUGGGAUAAGCCUGGGAAACCGGGUCUAAUACCGGAUAUGACUCCAUGACGCAUGUUGUGGGGUGGAAAGCCUUGUGCGGCUGAGGAUGGGCCCGCGGCCUAUCAGCUUGUUGGUGGGGUGAUGGCCUACCAAGGCGACGACGGGUAGCCGGCCUGAGAGGGCGACCGGCACACU